rnacentral:rRNA from 1 species
GGUUCAGAUUGAACGCUGGCGGCAGGCCUAACACAUGCAAGUCGAACGGUAACAGGAAGAAGCUUGCUCUUUGCUGACGAGUGGCGGACGGGUGAGUAAUGUCUGGGAAACUGCCUGAUGGAGGGGGAUAACUACUGGAAACGGUAGCUAAUACCGCAUAACGUCGCAAGACCAAAGAGGGGGACCUUCGGGCCUCUUGCCAUCGGAUGUGCCCAGAUGGGAUUAGCUAGUAGGUGGGGUAACGGCUCACCUAGGCGACGAUCCCUAGCUGGUCUGAGAGGAUGACCAGCCACACUGGAACUGAGACACGGUCCAGACUCCUACGGGAGGCAGCAGUGGGGAAUAUUGCACAAUGGGCGCAAGCCUGAUGCAGCCAUGCCGCCGUGUAUGAAGAAGGCCUUCGGGUUGUAAAGUACUUUCAGCGGGGAGGAAGGGAGUAAAGUUAAUACCUUUGCUCAUUGACGUUACCCGCAGAAGAAGCACCGGCUAACUCCGUGCCAGCCGCAGC